UAGGGUGGGGUUUGAGGAAAAUUUUACAGUAAGGAGAGUAGAGGGAAAACACAUCUCCCUGCCCUGUCAAGGUCAAUGGGUCUUCCUGCUAGGGAGCUCUGAGACCUUUUGCAGUCAGCUGUUCUGGGGAAAGCUUUGGGCUCUGAGUAGGGAGCUCUGGGAUUUAUGAGAGUAUCACUGUACUAUAGUAUCAUAGGAUUUCACCAUCUAGUGGCAACUACUACAAAUGUUAGCCAGUGACCCUGAAUGAAUGAGACCACACACAUUUUGGGGAUGGAAUGUGUGUCUCCUGCUUGACAGGUGGGUUCUUCACCACUAGCGGCACCUGGGAAGCCCCUCUCGUUUAACAGUGCUCACUGUCUUUUGGGACCAACUGCUUCUCCAGUGCCCAUUUUGGAGCUUGCCGUAUCCCUCUUCUUCAGCUCAGGUAUAUUGCUGCUGAAUCUCACCUCCGUUUUUUCUUAUGAGUUUGUUUCCAUCUAUGUGUUAGUAUAAAUAGUUAAGCUAACUUUAAUCAAAAUUUUAAGCAAGCUUUCAUAAGGCAUAAAUCAAAUGAUUUAGUAAAGUCCAGAUGUAUUACAUCUACUUAAUUCCUUUCAGCCACUUUGUAAUUUGAUCAAAUGAAUGCAAUUGAAUACAUCUGGCAUGAUCUGUUCUGUAUAAGCCCAUGCUAUUUAUCACCCAGGCUUUCACUACUCUCGAUGCAUAUAUCGUACUUUUUUUCUUAAUAUCUGCUCUGUUAUUUUACUGAGAAUUUAAGAUAAUAAUGGCAAGGAGAGCUUUUUCUUUCUUUCUUUCUGAAGUAUUUUUAGCUUGGUUAUUGUUUCCAUUGUUUUUGAAAUGCUUUGGUUGCCCCAAUCCCAAGAAAUACUUCCCAGUGGAAACAUAAGUGCAGUGGUCAAUUUCCUGGCAAGUUCUUUUUCCCUACCUUCCAAGAUGAUUGGAGACACGAAUCCAGUUGGCAUCAUGAUCUUAAUACACAAUGGAACUGUGUCUCUAAUGAGUAAUAAAUAUUAUGUAAGUAAUUCACUUGGUUAGAGGGUAUGCUACUUAAGGGAGGGGAGUGCUAAGGUUGCUCAUUCAUUCCUUACCUGAGCCAACUGACCUCACAGAGAGAAAAUUCUUUCUAUAACAAAACAACAUCCUUAACUACAGCCAGCAGACUAAUUCAGAUUUCAGAGAACAUUCCCUGACAGUUGGUCAAUUGUAUCAUUUUAUUCUAUGACAGACAGCCUACUAUUAUCCUGUUAUUCAUAAGGAAGAGGUGUUAUUUCUCUGCAUAACUUCUUGCAGAGAAUUACCAAUAAGAAUAGGAAAGUUGACUUAAGUUCAGUGUAAAUUAUUAACGUUAAAGUAAACCUAAAAUUAUUUGUACCUAGCAAGAAUAAGCGUUAGGAUUAAAUGCUAGAAUACUGAAGGAGCUAACAGGAUUUUUAAAAAGAAAAAGAAUGAAAAUGAUUCAAUGUAACCAUUAUAUGUAGUUGCAUUAGUGGAGAGAUAUGACUAAUAAUCACACCACUAUGAUUGUUUAUAACCCACCUUAAUAUUCGAAGGUGGCUAAUAAGACACAUAUGCUGUAAAAUGCUCACUGGGAUGACGCUUUAUCCUUUCUGGGCUUCCUAGGUGGCUCAGACAGUAAAGAAUCCACCUGCAAUGCAGGAGACCUAGGUUCNNNNNNNNNNNNNNNNNNNNNNNNNNNNNNNNNNNNNNNNNNNNNNNNNNNNNNNNNNNNNNNNNNNNNNNNNNNNNNNNNNNNNNNNNNNNNNNNNNNNNNNNNNNNNNNNNCAAAGAACUGGACAUGACUGAGUGACUAACAGUUUCAAUUUUAUCCUGUCAAUUUUGUUGUUACUGAAGUGAAGCUUAUUGAUUUUUAUCUUUGAGCAACUCAUGAUGGCAGUCUAGGGGAUGGCGGUCAAUGUGAUGAAAAUCUUCAGAGAACCUCACUCUUUCCUACUACACAGAACUUACUACUGCACAAAAAAUUUAAUCCCUCCCAGCCAUCUUCUAUUGAGGAACCAUGUGGUCUUCAUGUUUUGACUUCAAAUUCCAAGAAAAAAUAUUUUGCAUUCACCAAAGUGCAGCUGGUGAUAUGUAGCAACUGAUGUGGAAAGAAGGUGGUGCUGAACAAUCAGUCGAACCAGCUGACCUCCCCCUACCAUCAUGCCCAUUAUCCGUGGCCUCCACAUUCUAUGGGCCUUUCUUGGGUAGACAUCAUCUGCAAAGGUCCCAAGCUUUUUAGCUGUUUCCAUCCUCACAGCUUCUGGCCCACAAAAGCUGCCUUUCUUAUUUGCAACCAUAGUUAUGAAUAUAUACAGUAAGUCUCCUACAUGCAAAUCUUCAAGUUAUGAGCUUUCAAAGAUGCAGACAUGCAUUCCACCAACAUCAGGCAUGAAUGAAGUUGACACUUGCCCUCCAUCUCCUACUGUUGAUGACCCUUCAGCUCUAUCAUCUCCCACCUCUUCUUCCUCCUCUAGAGAGUAACUCUACUUGUCUGUUCACUUGACGCCAGCCCCUGUAGGCCAGCUACUGUACUCUACUACUGUACUUUUCAAGGUAUUGUAACAUUAAAACUGUUUUCUUUGUAUUUUGUAUUUGUUUCUUGGAAGUUGUUUAUGUGAAAAGCAUUAUAAACCUAUUACAGUUGUUGUUGUUGUUGUUCAGUAGCUAAGUCAUGUCCAGCUCUUUGCAACCCCAUGGACUGCAGCAUGCCAGG
rnacentral:lncRNA from 1 species